GUUCUUAACUGAGAAGUUUAUCGUCGCCAGCAAAUUCUCUCUUCUUCUUCUCCGGUGGAUUUUACUAGCUUACCAUCUUUCGAAAAUCAAUAGCAAUUCCCCGAUUCAGAUUCUCGAUUGGAUAGCCCUCUCCUUUCUCUCCACCGUCUCCGGCGUCUUUUCGCCGCGGCUAAAACCUUCCCCCGACUACAUCGAUUUUCUGCGUUUUCGAAGGAGAAAAUGUCGAUGAUCGCAAGCUCGUCUUCGCACAGUGAUCCAGAUUCAAGAAGCUUGCAAGUGCUUCUUGACGCUUUUGGUUCUCGUUUUUCUCUUGAUGACAUAGCUGCUGCUUACUGCCAAGCAAGCCAGAAUGUCGAUGUGGCUGGUGAGAUUCUCGUUGCGAUGACAGAAAAGACGACUCAAAGUGACCAAGUCAAGACGAAUGGAGCAGCCUCAGAACCAACGCAUGUUCCCAAGGAAGUUCGACCACAAGAACAUAACAAAGCCAAAGUAUGGAGGUCGAAAAAAAAUUCCGUCUCAGUUGGUACUGUUUCAAGUGUUAUCGGUAAGGAGUAUGCUAGAACCAGGCCUAUAUCAAAUGCUCCCCGAGAAGCAACUAAACCGAUGAAGAUAGACUCGAAGGACAUUCCAGAAACUGAGAUAUGGAGUGAAAAAAUGCCAGAAUGCAACAAGGCAAACAUAAGCAGGGCUCCAACUGAUGUUGAGGAAUUUAUUGUUAAGAUGCUCGGAGAAGGCUUUGAAGCUAGCCCAGAGGUUUAUCUGCUUUCCACCAAUCUAUCAGGCGUAUGCGGAUAUGAUGUGAAGAAGAGUACGGAGAAACUGCUUGACUUGUCUGAUACUAAGAAGUAUGCUGAUGUUGGAAUUUCCAAUGAUGCUAUGUCAAAAGUUGAUCCUCAAAGACAGGGAUCUACGUCCGGCAACCAAGUGGAACUGCAAAAGUUUUCUCAGAGUGAUGGAGCAAGAACCUUAACAGGUUCACAGGAAGGAGGCAAGAACAAUACUGGUCUCGAAAAGGAAGUUUUAGAAGCUUUGUUCUCAGGUUCGGAAAGAUAUGAGGAAAUACCAAAAAUAACUCGACGGUUUGGAGAAAGGAGAGCAAGAGUUCCUGGUCGUCCUGUUUUUAAACCUCCGGAAGACCCUUUCGAAGAGACAGUGGUUACUGUGAAAGUAUCGUCACAUACACCUAAAGAAGAUGAAGAUGAAGAAGAUGAAUAUAAGGCACAUCGUAAAGCAGUACACGAGUAUUUGCAGGAGAUGAAAGAAUAUUACGGAGCUGCUGUAGAAGCAUUCUCCAAAGGGGAAACCGAGCGAGCACACAGACUCGUGGAGAAGGGGCACGUUUUCAGACGAAAAGCUCGAGAAGCAGAUGACAUAUCCAUGGCAAAGGUGUUUGAAGUCAAGUCAGAAAGACGAUGAUUUGACUUACAAGGAAGACGAGUUAGUGACAGUGAAUGUGAACGAACACGAACCAAGGGAAGCUCUUCGUCUUCUCAAGCUCCAAUUUAAGAACUUCUCCGGCAUUCCAUCUAUCAAGUACCUCAGAGUCAAAUUGGGUGACAACAAGGAAGAUUCCAAAUGCAAACGAAAGCAUACUGCAAUUGCAAAGCUGCUGGAGGGAGAAUCCAUUGCAUGGUCUGAAGAAAAUAAUGGCCUCGUGAUGAUGAUUCGAGUUGAUGUUAUUGACCCUAAGAAAUUGAGUUUUGCCAAGAAAUAAAAACACACCAUUGGUUGAAACCCUUUUGCUUCAUUCUAUUGAAAAAUUGACUGUACUGUUUGAAACAGUCUGAUUCGGUAUGUACCCAAACAAAGAGGCAUGUUGGCAGAAAUAUAAUUUUUGGUUUCGGAAUCGAAGAAUCAUCAAGCCAUCUGACAUUACAAU